rnacentral:rRNA from 1 species
CAAUAGCGUAUAUUAAAACUGUUGCAGUUAAAAGGCUCGUAGUCGAACUUGUGAUCUGGUGAACCUGGUCUACUGUCUAGAACAGUGUGUUCUGGAGUUCACGGAUCAUCCUUCUGGAGAUCACUUCUGCUCUUGAUUGAGUUGGUUGUGUUAUCUAGAUCAUUUACUGUGAGUAAAUCAGAGUGUUCAAAACAGGCAUUUCGCUUGAAUGCUCCAGCAUGGAAUAAUAAGAUAGGACUUUGGUUCUAUUUUGUUGGCUUUCGGAACUUGAGUAAUGAUUGAAAGGGAUAGUUGGGGGUGCUAGUAUUUAACGGCCAGCGGUGAAAUGCAUGGACCCGUUAAAGACUAACUUAUGCGAAAGCAUUCACCAAGGAUAUCUUCUUUGA